GAUCCUUUCUAAGCCGAGGGUCACCUAGCCAACUGACGUUGUUAGUGAACCCAAUUGUUCACAAGUAUAUACAGCCAAUCACACACCUUGUGGUUGGCUUUUUUUU
rnacentral:sRNA from 1 species